GAUGAACGCUAGCGGCAGGCUUAAUACAUGCAAGUUGUACGGGAUUUCGGGUAGCAAUACCUGGAUGAGAGUAGCGCACGGGUGCGUAACGCGUAUGCAACCUACCUUUAACUGGGGCACAACCAUGAGAAAUUGUGGCUAAUAUCCCAUAACACUGCGAUGUGGCAUCACAUUGCAGUUAAAGCUCCGGCGGUUAUUGAUGGGCAUGCGUGACAUUAGCUAGUUGGCGAGGUAACGGCUCACCAAGGCUACGAUGUCUAGGGGUUCUGAGAGGAUUAUCCCCCACACUGGUACUGAGACACGGACCAGACUCCUACGGGUGGCUG
rnacentral:rRNA from 1 species